UACGGAGGGUGCAAGCGUUAUCCGGAUUCACUGGGUUUAAAGGGUGCGUAGGUGGGCAGGUAAGUCAGUGGUGAAAUCUUUGGGCUUAACCCGAAAACUGCCAUUGAUACUAUUUGUCUUGAAUAUUGUGGAGGUCAGCGGAAUAUGUCAUGUAGCGGUGAAAUGCUUAGAUAUGACAUAGAACACCAAUUGCGAAGGCAGCUGACUACAGGGGCAUUGACACUGAGGCACGAAAGCGUGGGGAUCAAACAGG
rnacentral:rRNA from 1 species